UACAGAGGUGGCAAGCGUUGUUCGGAAUUACUGGGCGUAAGGGGCGCGUAGGCGGCCUUCUAAGUCGGACGUGAAAUCCCCAGGCUUAACUUGGGAACUGCGUCCGAUACUGGAGGGCUUGAGUGCGGGAGAGGGAUGUGGAAUUCCAGGUGUAGCGGUGAAAUGCGUAGAUAUCUGGAGGAACACCGGUGGCGAAGGCGGCAUCCUGGACCGACACUGACGCUGAGGCGCGAAAGCCAGGGGAGCAAACGGG
rnacentral:rRNA from 1 species